AUUUCCCUCCAGUGCCCUUCCAAUUCCCCUUCCCCUUCCCCUCCGCCGUAUCCCACCACUCCCAUUCCCAUUCCCACUCCCCUUUCCGCUUCCCCUGUGCCAUCUCCCUCCAGUCCCCUUCCAAUUCCCAUUCCCCUUGCCCUGAGGCAUCUCCCUCCAGUCCCAGUCCCAUUCCCAUUAGCCCCUUUCCCUGUGCCAUCUCCCUCCAGUCCCCUUCCCAUUCCCUCUCCCCUUCCCCUGAGGCAUCUUCCUGCUCUCCCAUUCCAAUUCCCAUUCCCCUUCCUCCUCCCCUGCAGCAUUACCCUCCUAUCCCUUUCACAUUCCCUUUUCCCUUCCCCUGCAGCAUCUCCCUCCAAUCCCAUUCCAAAUCACAUUCCCUUUUCCCCUUCCCCUGUGCCAUCUCCCUCCAAUCCCCUUCCCAUUCCCCUUUCCCCUUCCCCUGCACCAUAUCCCACCACUCACAUUCCCAUUCCCCUUUCCCCUUCCCCUCUGUCAUCUCCCUUCAGUCCGCUUCCCGUUCCCAUUCCCCUUCCCCUCUGCCAUCUCCCUCCAGUCCCCUUCCCGUUCCCAUUCCCCUUCCCCUGAGGCAUCUCCCUCCAGUCCCCUUCCCGUUCUCGUUCCCCUUCCCCUGAGGCACCUACCUCCAGUCCCAUUCCCAUUCCCCUUCUUCCUCUGCACCCUCUGCCACCUGUUGCAUUCCCUUUCCCCUUCCCGAUGGCAUCUCCGUCCACGCACAUUCCCGUUCCCCCUUCCCCUUCCCCUGCAGCAUCUCCCUCCUGUCCCUUUCCCAUUCCCUUUUCCUAUUCCCCUGCAGCAUCGCCCUCCAGUCCCAUUGCAAAUCCCAUUCCCCUUAGACACUUUCCCUGUGGCAUCUCCCUCCAGUCCCCUACAAAUUCCCAUUCCCCUUCCCCUGAGAAAUCUCCCUCCAGUCCCAUUCCCAUUCCCAUUCCCCUGCGCCAUAUCCCACCACUCCCAUUCCAAUUCCCCUUUUCCGUUCCCCUGUGCCAUCUCCCUCCAGUCCCCUUCCCAUUCCCCGGCGCCAUAUCCCACCACUCCCAUUCCAAUUUCCCUUUUCCCUUCCACUGCUGCAUCGCCCUCCAGUCCCAUUCCAAAUCCCAUUCCCCUUUCCCCUUUCUCUGUGGCAUCUCCCUCCAGUCCCAUUCCAAAUCCCAUUCCCCUUUCCCCUUCCCCUGAGGCAUCUCCCUCCAAUCCCAUUCCAAAUCCCAUUCCCCUUUCUCCUUCCCCUGAGGCAUCUCCCCCCAGUCCCAUUCCAUAUCCCAUUCCCCUUCCCCUGCAGCAUUUCCCUCCUGUCCCUUUCCUAUUCCCUUUUCCCCUCCCAUCAAGCAUCUCCCACCAGUCCCAUUCCAAAUCCCAUUCCCCUUUCCCCUACCCCUGUGCCAUCUCCCUCCACUCCCAUUCGCAUUCCCCUUUCCCCUUGCCCUCUGCCAUCUCCCUCCUGUCCCAUUCCCAUCCCCCAUCCCCUUCCCCUGCGCCAUAUCCCACCACUCCCAUUCCAAUUCCCUUUCUCCCUUCCCCCGCAGCAUCGCCCUCCAGUCCCAUUCCAAAUCCCAUUCCCCUUUCCACUUCCCCUGUGCCAUCUCCCUGCAGUCCCCUUAAAAUUCCCCUUCACCUUCACCUGAGCCAUCUCCCUCCAGUCCCUUUCCCAUUCCCCUUUCCCCUUCCCCUGCGCCAUAUGCCACCACUCCCAUUCCCAUUCCCCUUUCCCCUUCCCCACUGCCAUCUCCCUCCAGUCCCUUUCCAAUUCCCCAACCCAUUCCCCUGAGGCAUCUCCCUCCAGUCCCCUUCCAAUUCUCCAACCCCUUCCCCUGAGGCAUCUCCCUCCAGUCCCAUUCCAAAUCCCAUUCCCCUGCAGCAUUUCCCUCAGGUCCGCUUCCUAUUCCCUUUCCCCUUCCCCUGAGGAAUCUCCCUCCAAUCCCAUUCCAAAUCCCAUUCCCCUUUCCCCUUUCCCGGUGCCAUCUCCCUCCAAUCCCAUUCCAAAUCCCAUUCAACUUUCCCUUUUCCCUGUGGCAUCUCCCUCCAGUCCCCUUCCAAUUCCCCUUCCCAUUCCCCUCCGACAUAUCCCACCACUCCCAUUCCCAUUCCCCUUUCCCCUUCCCCUGCAGCAUCUCCCUCCAGUUCCAUUCCCAUUCCCCGUCUCCCUCUGCACCCUCUGCCACCUGUUGCAUUCCCCGUCCCCUUCCCGAUGGGAUCUCCCUCCACUCCCAUUCCCGUUCCCCCUUCCCCUUUCCCUGUGCUAUCUCCCUCCAGUCCCCUUCCAAUUCCCAUUCCCCUUCCCCUGCGCCAUAUCCCACCACUCCAAUUCCCCUUUUCCGUUCCCCUGUGCCAUCUCCCUCCAGUCCCCUUGCCAUUCCCUUUCCCCUUCCCCUGAGACAUCUCCCUCCAGUCCCAUUCCCAUUCACCUUUCCCCUUUUCCUGUGGCAUUUCCCUCCAGUCCCCUUCCAAUUUCCCUUCCCAUUCCUCUGCGCAAUAUCCCACCAAUCCCAUUCCAAUUCCCCUUUCCCCUUUCCCUGCGGCAACUCCCUCCAGUCCUCUUCCUAUUCCCUUUCCCCUUCCCCUGAGGCAUCUCCCUCUAAUCCCAUUCCAAAUCCCAUUCCCCUUUCCCCUUCCCUUGAGGCACCUCCCCCCAGUCCCAUUCCAUAUCCCAUUCCCCUUCCCCUUCCCCUGCAGCAUUUCCCUCAUGUCCCUUUCCCAUUCCCUUUUCCCCUCCGUUCAAGCAUCUCCCUCCAGUCCCAUUCCAAAUCCCAUUCCCCUUUCCCCUUCCC
ensembl:lncRNA